CUGUUCUGAUCAUGAUCAAGCCCGAGACAGAGCGAUGGGCGUGGCUUCCCCAAAGGUGUUUAUGAAUCCAAAAUGUGAGAGAGAAGACAAGAUGAAGUCACAGGUCUAGUCAUUGCCUCAACACCAGUCAUGCCUACUCCCACCCAGACAACAUCAUGUCCGCUCCCAAGCCCGAAAUGCUCCCUGCCAUGCCUUCGAGGCUGAGGUCUGGGAAGAAGACUCUAAGAAGAGAGAAAAGGGCACCAGUAUGGAGACCCUAGAAUAUAAAAAGCAGACUUAGCCUGUCUAACCUGUUCCUUGACUUGGCCAUGAUCCCAGGAAUGGAGGAAGGAUCUUCCUUUUCUUCCUCCUCCUGGAGAGGCAUCAGAGCAUGGGC
rnacentral:lncRNA from 1 species